rfam:Camelus ferus unplaced genomic scaffold scaffold1533, whole genome shotgun sequence.
GUGGGUAUAGCUCAGUGGUGGAGCACGUGCUUAGCAUGUACGAGAUCCUAGGUUCAGUCCCCGGUACCUCCA